rnacentral:rRNA from 1 species
GGGUUGUGAGGUUAAGCGACUAAGCGUACACGGUGGAUGCCCUGGCAGUCAGAGGCGAUGAAGGACGUGCUAAUCUGCGAUAAGCGUCGGUAAGGUGAUAUGAACCGUUAUAACCGGCGAUUUCCGAAUGGGGAAACCCAGUGUGAUUCGUCACACUAUCAUUAACUGAAUCCAUAGGUUAAUGAGGCGAACCGGGGGAACUGAAACAUCUAAGUACCCCGAGGAAAAGAAAUCAACCGAGAUUCCCCCAGUAGCGGCGAGCGAACGGGGAGCAGCCCAGAGCCUGAAUCAGUGUGUGUGUUAGUGGAAGCGUCUGGAAAGGCGCGCGAUACAGGGUGACAGCCCCGUACACAAAAAUGCACAUGCUGUGAGCUCGAUGAGUAGGGCGGGACACGUGGUAUCCUGUCUGAAUAUGGGGGGACCAUCCUCCAAGGCUAAAUACUCCUGACUGACCGAUAGUGAACCAGUACCGUGAGGGAAAGGCGAAAAGAACCCCGGCGAGGGGAGUGAAAAAGAACCUGAAACCGUGUACGUACAAGCAGUGGGAGCACAGAGCAAUCUGUGUGACUGCGUACCUUUUGUAUAAUGGGUCAGCGACUUAUAUUCUGUAGCAAGGUUAACCGAAUAGGGGAGCCGAAGGGAAACCGAGUCUUAACUGGGCGUUAAGUUGCAGGGUAUAGACCCGAAACCCGGUGAUCUAGCCAUGGGCAGGUUGAAGGUUGGGUAACACUAACUGGAGGACCGAACCGACUAAUGUUGAAAAAUUAGCGGAUGACUUGUGGCUGGGGGUGAAAGGCCAAUCAAACCGGGAGAUAGCUGGUUCUCCCCGAAAGCUAUUUAGGUAGCGCCUCGUGAAUUCAUCUCCGGGGGUAGAGCACUGUUUCGGCAAGGGGGUCAUCCCGACUUACCAACCCGAUGCAAACUGCGAAUACCGGAGAAUGUUAUCACGGGAGACACACGGCGGGUGCUAACGUCCGUCGUGAAGAGGGAAACAACCCAGACCGCCAGCUAAGGUCCCAAAGUCAUGGUUAAGUGGGAAACGAUGUGGGAAGGCCCAGACAGCCAGGAUGUUGGCUUAGAAGCAGCCAUCAUUUAAAGAAAGCGUAAUAGCUCACUGGUCGAGUCGGCCUGCGCGGAAGAUGUAACGGGGCUAAACCAUGCACCGAAGCUGCGGCAGCGGCGCUUAUGCGUUGUUGGGUAGGGGAGCGUUCUGUAAGCCUGCGAAGGUGUACUGUGAGGUAUGCUGGAGGUAUCAGAAGUGCGAAUGCUGACAUAAGUAACGAUAAAGCGGGUGAAAAGCCCGCUCGCCGGAAGACCAAGGGUUCCUGUCCAACGUUAAUCGGGGCAGGGUGAGUCGACCCCUAAGGCGAGGCCGAAAGGCGUAGUCGAUGGGAAACAGGUUAAUAUUCCUGUACUUGGUGUUACUGCGAAGGGGGGACGGAGAAGGCUAUGUUGGCCGGGCGACGGUUGUCCCGGUUUAAGCGUGUAGGCUGGUUUUCCAGGCAAAUCCGGAAAAUCAAGGCUGAGGCGUGAUGACGAGGCACUACGGUGCUGAAGCAACAAAUGCCCUGCUUCCAGGAAAAGCCUCUAAGCAUCAGGUAACAUCAAAUCGUACCCCAAACCGACACAGGUGGUCAGGUAGAGAAUACCAAGGCGCUUGAGAGAACUCGGGUGAAGGAACUAGGCAAAAUGGUGCCGUAACUUCGGGAGAAGGCACGCUGAUAUGUAGGUGAAGUCCCUCGCGGAUGGAGCUGAAAUCAGUCGAAGAUACCAGCUGGCUGCAACUGUUUAUUAAAAACACAGCACUGUGCAAACACGAAAGUGGACGUAUACGGUGUGACGCCUGCCCGGUGCCGGAAGGUUAAUUGAUGGGGUCAGCGCAAGCGAAGCUCUUGAUCGAAGCCCCGGUAAACGGCGGCCGUAACUAUAACGGUCCUAAGGUAGCGAAAUUCCUUGUCGGGUAAGUUCCGACCUGCACGAAUGGCGUAAUGAUGGCCAGGCUGUCUCCACCCGAGACUCAGUGAAAUUGAACUCGCUGUGAAGAUGCAGUGUACCCGCGGCAAGACGGAAAGACCCCGUGAACCUUUACUAUAGCUUGACACUGAACAUUGAGCCUUGAUGUGUAGGAUAGGUGGGAGGCUUUGAAGUGUGGACGCCAGUCUGCAUGGAGCCGACCUUGAAAUACCACCCUUUAAUGUUUGAUGUUCUAACGUUGACCCGUGAUCCGGGUUGCGGACAGUGUCUGGUGGGUAGUUUGACUGGGGCGGUCUCCUCCUAAAGAGUAACGGAGGAGCACGAAGGUUGGCUAAUCCUGGUCGGACAUCAGGAGGUUAGUGCAAUGGCAUAAGCCAGCUUGACUGCGAGCGUGACGGCGCGAGCAGGUGCGAAAGCAGGUCAUAGUGAUCCGGUGGUUCUGAAUGGAAGGGCCAUCGCUCAACGGAUAAAAGGUACUCCGGGGAUAACAGGCUGAUACCGCCCAAGAGUUCAUAUCGACGGCGGUGUUUGGCACCUCGAUGUCGGCUCAUCACAUCCUGGGGCUGAAGUAGGUCCCAAGGGUAUGGCUGUUCGCCAUUUAAAGUGGUACGCGAGCUGGGUUUAGAACGUCGUGAGACAGUUCGGUCCCUAUCUGCCGUGGGCGCUGGAGAAUUGAGGGGGGCUGCUCCUAGUACGAGAGGACCGGAGUGGACGCAUCACUGGUGUUCGGGUUGUCAUGCCAAUGGCACUGCCCGGUAGCUAAAUGCGGAAGAGAUAAGUGCUGAAAGCAUCUAAGCACGAAACUUGCCCCGAGAUGAGUUCUCCCUGACUCCUUGAGAGUCCUGAAGGAACGUUGAAGACGACGACGUUGAUAGGCCGGGUGUGUAAGCGCAGCGAUGCGUUGAGCUAACCGGUACUAAUGAACCGUGAGGCUUAACCUUACAACGCCGAAG